rnacentral:rRNA from 1 species
UUGCCAGACUCCUACGGGAGGCAGCAGGGGGGGAUAUUGCACAAUGGGGGAAACCCUGAUGCAGCAACGCCGCGUGAAGGAAGACGGUUUUCGGAUUGUAAACUGCUGUUCUUAGUGAAGAAGAAUGACGGUAGCUAAGGAGCAAGCCACGGCUAACUACGUGCCAGCAGCCGCGGUAAUACGUAGGGGGCAAGCGAUGUCCGGAUUUACUGGGUGUAAAGGGCGUGUAGCCGGGCUGACAAGUCAGAUGUGAAAUCCGGGGGCUCAACCCCCGAACUGCAUUUGAAACUGUUGGUCUUGAGUAUCGGAGAGGCAGGCGGAAUUCCUAGUGUAGCGGUGAAAUGCGUAGAUAUUAGGAGGAACACCAGUGGCGAAGGCGGCCUGCUGGGCGACAACUGACGGUGAGGCGCGAAAGCGUGGGGAGCAAACAGGAUUAGAUACCCUCGUACU